CCCUUAGAUGUUCUGGGCCGCACGCGCGCUACACUGUUCGACGCAGCGAGUCUUAACCUUGACCGAAAGGUUUGGGUAAUCUUCAGCAAAGUCGAACGUGAUGGGGAUCGAUCAUUGCAAUUAUUGAUCGUGAACGAGGAAUUCCUAGUAAUUGCAAGUCAUCAGCUUGCGCUGAUUACGUCCCUGCCCUUUGUACACACCGCCCGUCGCUACUACCGAUUGAAUGGUUUAGUGAGAUCUCUGGAUUGACGCUGGCUAGGGGGCGACCCUUGGCCAGGCUGUCGAGAAACUGCUCAAACUUGAUCAUUUAGAGGAAGUAAAAGUCGUAACA
rnacentral:rRNA from 1 species